UUUUACUUGAAACUUAAAUGAGUAGCUACUUUUGAAUUGAAAGUAUAGUUGAAGAUUUAUCUCUAGUUCUCUAUAUAUUAUAAAUAUUUUAGAAUAUUUUAAUAUUAUAAGAUUAUUUAUUAAUUAGUGUAAAAUUUAAAAUAAUAAUAAAUAAUUUCAUACAGAAAAAUAGGAUACAAUGAUUUACGUGAUUCAACCUUUGGCCUACAUCCACA
rnacentral:lncRNA from 1 species